rnacentral:rRNA from 1 species
GUGAGGAAUAUUGGUCAAUGGGCGAGAGCCUGAACCAGCCAAGUCGCGUGAAGGAAGAAGGAUCUAUGGUUCGUAAACUUCUUUUGCAGGGGAAUAAAGUGCAGGACGUGUCCUGUUUUGUGUGUACCCUGAGAAUAAGGAUCGGCUAACUCCGUGCCAGCAGCCGCGGUAAUACGGAGGAUCCGAGCGUUAUCCGGAUUUAUUGGGUUUAAAGGGUGCGUAGGUGGUUUGAUAAGUCAGCGGUGAAAGUUUGCAGCUUAACUGUAAAAAUGCCGUUGAAACUGUCGGACUUGAGUGUAAAUGAGGUAGGCGGAAUGCGUGGUGUAGCGGUGAAAUGCAUAGAUAUCACGCAGAACUCCGAUUGCGAAGGCAGCUUACUAAGCUACAACUGACACUGAAGCACGAAAGCGUGGGGAUCAAACAGGAUUAGAUACCCCAGUAGUCC